UUUGUACAUGGAAAGUACAUAUUGUGGUUUACAAUUAUUUUAUGACCUACUCAAUUAUAAUGUUAGUUGUUUUCAGAAAAGUACGGAUUUAAUUCAGGAUGUCUUAUCCAAGACUUUUAUUGAAGGGGGUUGGAGGAACUAGUCCACGGAGGGUGGUGGUGGCAGAACUGCCUUUCAAGAUUGGUAGGGAUAGCGAGGCUGAUCUUGUGAUCAUGGACGUGAACAUCUCAAGGAAGCAUGCCACAAUAACCUUCAACAAAGAAUCCAAUGGGUUCCAGAUCACAAAUUUCAGUAUGAAUGGUGUUAGUGUCAAUGGAAGGGAAGUUCUUUCUUACGAAUCUGUGGAGCUGAGAAAUCAGGA